GAUGCCCAAUUGUCAUAACCAGGCAGGGGCGGACACCCAUCUCGCAUAAUGCGAUAUUGACCACUCAUCAUAUCCCGUUUCUGCCUAAAUGAUCAUAAUCUCUCUUCUCUCUUCUCCCUUUCCUCUCUUCACUCCGUCGCACAAGUCUGAGUAGUGAAGGACCUCCCAAUAUCAAUUUUCUCAGCCAUUCCGUAUAUGUUUCAAGUAUAACCAAGAUCAAUAUUUUCCUCACAACCGCUGUCUUCUCCUCCAUGUUCUUAUUAAUUAAUCCAAAUGAUGGAGAAGCUUAAGUUGAGAGAAAAGUGAAAUCAUUUGAUCCUCUUUUGUAAAGAAAAAAAAAAGCUGAAGUUGAGAGAGGAGAACUACAAAUGACGAGCAUGAAACUGUCAAAACAUAUUGGGGAAUUUCUAGAUUUUAAUUAAACGCUCAGAUUUGGAAUUAUUGUUUAUUGAUUAUUAAGAUAUGUUGUUUGUAUAAUUGUAUUAGAUUUUUCUUUUUAUGGAAAAAUAAAUGAGAGGUCCUGACCCAGAAAGAGAAAUUUUUCCAAUUAGUUCAAUGAGGAUUUCUCAGCUUUGUUGUAUCAAAGAGAAACAACUCAAUAUAGAGGAUUGAAUGAGCAUAGCUCAUUGUUUUUA